AAACUUUCAACAACGGAUCGUCUUGGCUCUGGCAUCGAUGAAGAACGCAGCGAAAUGCGAUAAGUAAUGUGAAUUGCAGAAUCCAGUGAAUCAUCGAAUCUUUGAACGCACAUUGCGCCCGCCAGCAUUCUGGCGGGCAUGCCUGUUCGAGCGUCAUUUC
rnacentral:rRNA from 1 species